UGUUUUCGCGCGACUGCGCUGGCCGACGGGCUUGGCAUCCGACAAUAGGAUCAGCACUCUGCACCUAAAGCUUUCGUCGGCCUCCAAAGAAAGUAUGUUCUUUGCAGGGAUGCUAUUUCGACAACCGUACGGCUGGGCUUUUCCUGCAUCGCUUUUCACGUUGAAAGCUCGAAACGCCCAUCAAGUCGAAUGGCGGGGCAUUUGAAUAUAUAGCUCCAAAGGAAGGACAACAAAACAAAUUUCGCGCCUUCGAAAACAAGAUGACGUCACUUUUGCUUAUAACGGACAUGGCGUCACAUUAUUUUUUCUUCCGCCGGAAGUGUUCCCACCACAUACAGAUGGCGCUAAGCCCCAUGAACCGCCGAUGGACCGCCAUGUUUUGAACGUAUGGGCUCCUAUGGAAGCUUCGCUACCAGGUAUAUUUACCUUGCGUCAUGCGCCAGACAAGCCGCAGGAGUGAGCGAGGCCGGUCGUACGUGCGAAGCUCGCGUGCUCGGCGACCCGUCUGUUUUGGAUAUAGCCCAUUUUUUGGGCUCCCGGCCUUCUCCAUGCUUCUCUUGCGUAUCGUCUGCAUUUCGACACGGCACCACUGCACUACUGGACUACGGCAAACUGAUGGCAUCCGGUGGAGCAUCGUACGGCAACGACUUCUGCUUACCUGGUGCCACAACUUUGGAUGAAUGCAGAAGAAGCCCGGAACGAGCAUUUAUAUAGAGCAAAAUAAACAUUUCAUCAUUUCAGAA